GAGCGAACGUUAAAUUCCGUGGGG
rnacentral:miRNA from 1 species